CUUUACGUUUUCCCACUAGGACUGCAACUCAGAUCAUAGCCUUCCUUUCUCUUGGUGCUUUUAAUAAACGAUCUGAGUAUCAUGUAGACUUUAAACUCUGUAGAUUAAAAAAAAAAAUCUCUUACGAAUGUAAAGUGAACUUCAUUUAGCCAGAUUUUACGACCUUUAUUUGUUUAAAUUUAGGGAAGUAACUCUCUUACAGUUGCGAGAAUAAAGAUAUUUCUAAUUAGUUGCAUAAUAUGCAUAUAGUUGCUAUCACAUGGAAGCUUUAGGUGCUAAUUAAGAUAAAUUGGGAAAACAAUCAAGGGGAAAUAGAUCGGAAGAGCGUGGUG